rnacentral:misc_RNA from 1 species
GAUGAAGAACGCAGUGAAAUGCGAUACGUAGUGUGAAUUGCAGAAUUCAGUGAAUCAUCGAAUCUUUGAACGCACAUUGCGCCCUUUGGUAUUCCAAAGGGCAUGCCUGUUCGAGCGUCAUUUGUACCCUCAAGCUUUGCUUGGUGUUGGGCGUCUUGUCUCCAGUCCGCUGGAGACUCGCCUUAAAGUCAUUGGCAGCCGGCCUACUGGUUUCGGAGCGCAGCACAAGUCGCACUCUUUUCCAGCCAAGGUCAGCGUCCAACAAGCCUUUUUUCAACUUUUGACCUCGGAUCAGGUAGGGAUACCCGCUGAACUUAAGCAUAUCAAUAAGCGGAGGA